UUCUUCUAAUUGUACAUCAACAGGUGUAGGUCUUUUAUAAUAUAGUAAAGCUGUGAUGGGUUUCCAUGUUUUACCAUACGCUAUCCUAUUUAGAUCAUUGGUUGAGGUAUCCAUAAACGCAGUUUCUGUAUUGUCUAGAGUAUCAUCUAUAAUUGGUUCCUCUUCUUGAAGCAUUAAAGUUUCAUGCUCAGGAAUCUUCAAUUUUCCUUUAUCGGAUGAUUCUCGAAUAUUGGGUAGAGGUACAGUAAUACUCAGUAUGGGUAUAGGAAUACUUAAUUUUGGAGAAGGGAUUCUUUUGAUAUCUAAUUGGGCUAGUUUGGAGAUUAAUUGAUCGAUUAGUGUUUUAUUAUCUUCGCCUAUAUGGAAUUUGGUUUUAUUAAGUUCUGGAGGUGGUUUAAAUAAAACAGUUUUAAGAAUAGGAGGGGUUACUCCCUUAGGUUGAGGAGUGACC
rnacentral:lncRNA from 1 species